GUGGUUGUUGGCACAUGUGGUGAAGAUUGGAUGGCCAGAGAUGUUUUAGACUCAAAUCAGGAUUGUGAUUCUAAUGCAGAUUGGGUUUUGGGGCCUAUAAAAAAGGCUUGAUGGCCUGUGGAGAUAAGGGAGAAUCAGGACAUCACAAUAGAGCAUCAGAGAUGAAUUGAUAAGAGAAUUAAAUUUAGUUCAUAUUGAAUUAUAGUAAAACUAUAUGAUGUUUUAAAUGUAUUAAACUGAAGGGAUGCAUUCGAUGCAUAUUAAGGAUGAUAACUUAUAUUGAUUGUAAAAUAACUUAGAAAUUCUAUAUUUAAUAUUAGUA
rnacentral:lncRNA from 1 species